AUUGAACGCUGGCGGCAGGCCUAACACAUGCCAGUCGAGCGGUAGAGAGAAGCUUGCUUCUCUUGAGAGCGGCGGACGGGUGAGUAAUGCCUAGGAAUCUGCCUGGUAGUGGGGGAUAACGUUCGGAAACGGACGCUAAUACCGCAUACGUCCUACGGGAGAAAGCAGGGGACCUUCGGGCCUUGCGCUAUCAGAUGAGCCUAGGUCGGAUUAGCUAGUUGGUGGGGUAAUGGCUCACCAAGGCGACGAUCCGUAACUGGUCUGAGAGGAUGAUCAGUCACACUGGAACUGAGACACGGUCCAGACUCCUACGGGAGGCAGCAGUGGGGAAUAUUGGACAAUGGGCGAAAGCCUGAUCCAGCCAUGCCGCGUGUGUGAAGAAGGUCUUCGGAUUGUAAAGCACUUUAAGUUGGGAGGAAGGGCAGUAAAUUAAUACUUUGCUGUUUUGACGUUACCGACAGAAUAAGCACCGGCUAACUCUGUG
rnacentral:rRNA from 1 species